rnacentral:rRNA from 1 species
AGUGAACGCUGGCGGUAGGCCUAACACAUGCAAGUCGAACGGCAGCACAGUAAGAGCUUGCUCUUACGGGUGGCGAGUGGCGGACGGGUGAGGAAUACAUCGGAAUCUACUUUUUCGUGGGGGAUAACGUAGGGAAACUUACGCUAAUACCGCAUGCGACCUACGGGUGAAAGCAGGGGAUCUUCGGACCUUGCGCGAUUGAAUGAGCCGAUGUCGGAUUAGCUAGUUGGCGGGGUAAAGGCCCACCAAGGCGACGAUCCGUAGCUGGUCUGAGAGGAUGAUCAGCCACACUGGAACUGAGACACGGUCCAGACUCCUACGGGAGGCAGCAGUGGGGAAUAUUGGACAAUGGGCGCAAGCCUGAUCCAGCCAUACCGCGUGGGUGAAGAAGGCCUUCGGGUUGUAAAGCCCUUUUGUUGGGAAAGAAAAGCAGCAGGUUAAUACCCCGCUGUCCUGACGGUACCCAAAGAAUAAGCACCGGCUAACUUCGUG